rnacentral:rRNA from 1 species
UACGUAGGGUGCAAGCGUUAAUCGGAAUUACUGGGCGUAAAGCGUGCGCAGGCGGUGAUGUAAGGCAGAUGUGAAAUCCCCGGGCUCAACCUGGGAACUGCAUUUGUGACUGCAUCGCUGGAGUGCGGCAGAGGGGGAUGGAAUUCCGCGUGUAGCAGUGAAAUGUGUAGAUAUGCGGAGGAACACCGAUGGCGAAGGCAAUCCCCUGGGCCUGCACUGACGCUCAUGCACGAAAGCGUGGGGAGCAAACAGG